AUUGAACGCUGCCGGCAGGCCUAACACAUGCAAGUCGAGCGGAUGAGAAGAGCUUGCUCUUCGAGUUAGCGGCGGACGGGUGAGUAAUGCCUAGGAAUCUGCCUGGUAGUGGGGGACAACGUUUCGAAAGGAACGCUAAUACCGCAUACGUCCUACGGGAGAAGGCAGGGGACCUUCGGGCCUUGCGCUAUCAGAUGAGCCUAGGUCGGAUUAGCUAGUUGGUGAGGUAAUGGCUCACCAAGGCGACGAUCCGUAACUGGUCUGAGAGGAUGAUCAGUCACACUGGAACUGAGACACGGUCCAGACUCCUACGGGAGGCAGCAGUGGGGAAUAUUGGACAAUGGGCGAAAGCCUGAUCCAGCCAUGCCGCGUGUGUGAAGAAGGUCUUCGGAUUGUAAAGCACUUUAAGUUGGGAGGAAGGGCAGUAAGCGAAUACCUUGCUGUUUUGACGUUACCAACAGAAUAAGCACCGGCUAACUACGUGCCAGCCGCCGCGGUAAGAC
rnacentral:rRNA from 1 species